UACGGAGGGUGCGAGCGUUGUCCGGAAUCACUGGGCGUAAAGGGCGCGUAGGCGGCCUGAUAAGUAGGGGGUGAAAUCCUGCGGCUUAACCGCAGGGCUGCCUUCUAAACUGUCAGGCUAGAGCACAGUAGAGGCAGGUGGAAUUCCCGGUGUAGCGGUGGAAUGCGUAGAGAUCGGGAAGAACAUCAGUGGCGAAGGCGGCCUGCUGGGCUGGUUGCUGACGCUGAGGCGCGACAGCGUGGGGAGCAAACAGG
rnacentral:rRNA from 1 species